rnacentral:rRNA from 1 species
CUAGCAGUAUCAGAGUUCGAUCCUGGCUCAGGAUGAACGCUAGCUACAGGCUUAACACAUGCAAGUCAGGGGCAGCAUGGAGUCUGCUUGCAGACUCUGAUGGCGACCGGCGCACGGGUGAGUAACGCGUAUCCAACCUGCCCAUUACUCGGGCAUAGCCCAGUGAAAACUGGAUUAACUCCCGAUACUGUUCUGAAGCGGCAUCUUAUCAGGACAAAAGUUUUACGGUAAUGGAUGGGGAUGCGUCUGAUUAGGUAGUAGGCGGGGUAACGGCCCACCUAGCCGACGAUCAGUAGGGGUUCUGAGAGGAAGGUCCCCCACACUGGAACUGAGACACGGUCCAG